UUCUUUUUCUCCCCUCUCUUUUACAGUGGUUUGGUCCUGCUACUUAAAACAGCAUCCCUUAUCAUCAAUCCUUCACAGGGGUCUGACUCUGUCUUACAGAUUACUAGACCCUUUUCAAUCUUCAUCUUCCUCUUCUUUUCCUUCCCUCUCCCAGAGUGGUUUGAUGGCACCUUAUAGAAAAGCAUCCCCAUUCAACAAUCUAUGCAUCUCAGUGGUCUGAUUCUGUCUGGAGAGCAUCAGCAUAUUUCCUCCUCCUGUCUCACACCAGUGAUUUGAUCCUGCGUUACUGAGCAUCAGUUUAUUUUAGCUCUUCCCCUGGGGUCCACAGUAGUUUGAUCUUACCUCUUGGACUUUCUUAUCCCCCCUCCAGCACCACCACCACAAAUGGUGUGAUCCUUAGCAUCAGGUCCUUUUUCUCCCCCAACUGGUCUUCUAAGCAGAUUGAAGCUGCUUCAUCUCGUUCCUGAUUUGUCCUGAUUCCCUCAGUGGCUUGCUCCUGCAUUAGUAAUGUAAAAUGGCCCAAAUGGGUUUAAAAUUGUCAGAAGUUGGUCUUGAUCAGUUCAAAUAUUUUUUGACGAAGAAACUCAGUUCUGGUCAGUACAAAUCUAUUUUGACCAGUUUAAACCAGUUCUGCAGAACUCGGGCCUGUGGUCGGUAAACCCAGGAAGAUGGCUGAAGACUAUACUGAUCCAAGCCAAAGCAAAGAAUCAGAGAAAGGUAAGAUUCAUUAAGACUUGGGUGGAAAGAGUUAACAUGGGCAGAAUCUUGGAAGACUUCAAGAAGAAGGUGGAAUUCAAACUGAGUCAUGAAUAGCUAUUGAAAAGUUAUUAAAAAGAAAAAAUCAUGAAGAAAAGAAACAAAAUAGAUCAUGGAGUCUGUCUUAUCUUCUUUUCCUGUGUAAUCAAGAAAGCCUGGGCAGAGUAUUAUUAUUGGUAAGUUCUGGAAAAUCUCCCUUAGAUGCAAAUCUCAGAUGAAAAACACUCUUAUUAAGUGAAAUAUACUUGUCUCAACUGUAGGUGUUUAUCAAAAACAAAAGGCGGGAGAAAGAGAUAGCUCUAUCAGUGGAGCAAUACUGCCACCAAAAGAAAAAUAUUGAGAAAAGCUCCAUAACAAGAGAGAGAAAAACAGAGGAAGAGAAGAGUAGAAGAGAAAAUUGGGAGGUUUCAUAUAUAGACUAUUUGGUUUUCUGCUUUAGCUGACAUCACUCAUCAGUGAUCAUAAGGGAACCAGUCUUACCCCUUAGUUGUCACUAAUGAAAUAGGUAUGGCUGGUCCAGCCUUGAGCCAUUUGAGAGAUUGGAAGGAGGCAGAUCUCUGAGUGGCUGGGAAUUCUCACUAGAGAAAAUAAACGGCCAUAUGUCAAAGGGAUGGGAUGAUGGGAUUUGCUAAACAAGCUGAUUAGAAUCAAGAUCUCUGGGGAAGGUUGCAGAACUUUGAGUUGUGAAAUUGUAUUUCCUGGAGUGCUAGGGUUUCAGCAAAAGUGGCACAGAAAACUCCUCAUUUAAAUAGUGUGUCUUUUUUUAAUGUAUUGAAAAUGCACAUGUAAUUUUGUUUGAAGAAUAAAGCAAUACCAAAACCGGUAGCCUGGAAUACGAUCUAGUUUUUUCUGCUUGAUUUUGUAUGUUAACAGGGUCAUAACAAAAGGGAAGUUCAAUUUGGUUUAUGGGAUUAGGACUGGAGCAUUCAUCUGCUUCACUUGCUCCUUUCCCCAUAAUUAGAUUAAAUCACGAAGUCCCUAGGUUCAUUCACCUUUUGCAAUACACUAUACAUUUUGGGGUACUCUGGAAGUAAAAGAUGGGUUCCAAUUAUGACGUUAGAUGGGUCCUAAUUAUGAUGUUAGUGCUUCCCAUAGCACCACUGGGAAUUCAAAGCUCACUUCCCUAUGUGCUCCGGUUUCUCACCUGAGGUUGUGACAAGCCAUAAAAGGUAUAAUAUAGAGGAAAGGCCUGAGUAUUUUAAGCAGUGGAAUGACAUGAUGAAGAUUCUAUUUUUAUGUAAUUAAAUAUUUUUAAAUAUUACCUGCAUAAAUGAAACAUUUAAUAAUAAUGGUUCAAUUCUGAAAAAUAAUUAAAUAAUGAGGGAUAGCCCUACCAAAUAUUGAGACAUAAAUCCAUGGUAAUUAAUAUAAGUGCAGAAAUAGUCUGACAGAACACUGGGACAGAGUGUAUUAGCUCAUUUUCACACUGUUAUACAGAUACUACCUGAGACUGGGUAAUUUUCAAAUCAAGUAGUUUUUUUUUUUU